CGAGGAAACAGGGUACGUCAAAACAGGUGCUGAUAUGCAAUUGUUAUAGAAACACGUGCAUUGGAGAAUCUUCAUUAUUUCCAUUUCUAUUAUUUGAAUCUUUGAGCAUUCAGAUGUAAUGUUAUCCUAAUUCUUUAUUUGUUAAAUGUUUUGCACCUGCAGUUGCAGCCUUUCGUAAUAACGAUAGAUAAUGUUAUUGUAGAAUCGUAGUUGUAUUGUAGAAUCGAGUGGAAUGAAUUUCGUCAAAUUCCGAAGUUCGAAAGAUCGAAAGUUUGAAAAGUCAAAAUUUCAAAAAAUACAAAAUUCGACGAUCCGAAAAUUUAAAAAACGAAAAUUUACUUAUAAAUUAAUUUUGAAAAAUCGAAGAUACGUGCUACCAAAAUUAUAGGAAUUUAAAAAUUAGUCUUGAAACAAAUUACAAUCCGAAUGUGGAAACGAGACCAAAGCAAGGGAAUACUGGAAAGAAGAGGAGAAAGAAAGAUGCAGACUAUUGCAGAAGAAUAGAACAAGACCUGAGACAUGUAACAAAAGAAUGUGAAAUAACUGGAGGACCAAAGGACGUAGGAUAAACGCUGAACGAGACUGGGGAAGGUUUAAGAGAACUGAAAGCAAUAAUAGAGAAGAGAAGGACAAACGACAAGGAGGAUGCACAGCAAGGAGGCUAAAUACCAACGUUGCAAUAGUUCGUUUCUCAUUAGUUUCUAAAUUAUAGUCCCUAAUGUUUAGUUUCUAGAGGUAGAAUAAGCAAGGUAGUGCAAUAGAAUAGAGUGGAAAAGGGGGAAGGUAAACAUAUAAGAAGAGAAUUAGAUGUGAGGGAUGUAAAACUCGAAAGACUAAAGAAAAAUAAAUAAUAAAAAUAAAUAUAAGCAAAACGGACGCCAAACUUCGAUAUAGCUUCACAUUUAGCGAACACUGUUAUCUUUGUUUAUCUCUCGAAACACACUGCAGACGUAAUUGGAAAAACUUAAUGGGACAUUCUACUGUUAUCAAUCGCACACACCAAGAAACAUUCGUACGGAAGAAACAGUUGCAUAAGAAAGCAAGAUACGCGGAGAAGAAACGACGUUUCUAACAGCUGUUUAGUAUAUCGCGAAGCAGGCUCGAUCGAUUUGACUGAAACGAAGAAGCCAGUUUCGCGAAUAAAGCGUGAGCAUGGCGCACAGGGUAGCAGAGAUUUUACGAUAGCAAUUAUGAGGUUGGAAGAGUUUAAGUGGCUAUAAGUCUGCCGGUAAUUGAAAGGACCGUUUUUUUCAUCGAGAACUGACGCGGUUCGCAGAUUGCCUCUAACCAGCGCCGCGAUCUCCGUUAAUUUCCGGCAAGAUGAAGUUUUUCUGCGAAGCUGGCGAACAAAUCGACGCGCCCGCUGUAUUGUAAAUCAGCGUAAACGAUCGUGAUCGUCGAGCGCGUUUUCGAACAGACUCAUGGGCCAAUUUGUCGAAUGUGAUAUACGCGAACCAAGCGCUUCGUUUCUUAUCGGUUUUUUCGGUUUGUAGCUUGAGUAACGAGUUUGUUCGAGUUGCUUUAAAAGCCCGUUAACGCUAUGUAGAAAUAUCGAAGAGCAACUUUGUUCUCUCUCUUUAAAUGGAAUGCAACUUUUACAAAAUUGUGUUUUUCAUAACAAGGCUCGAUGUAAAACGUGCAAUGGAAAUAUGUUAACGAUUCGAAAAACAACAUUAUUCUUGAUUGGUAUAACGUAGAAGUUGCUCGAAUAUGCGAGUCAAAUGAUUCAUUUCGUACGAUAUUAUCUGUACGUUGAAAACGAAACGAAGGUUUCCCAGAAGCGCUAAAUAUUUCAAGGAAUAAUCAGCACUGAUUCGAAACGCAGAAGCAGUUAAAAUUUUUCUACCAGUUCAAUCACAAAUCGUUCAACACAUAAUUGUACCUGUACUUAAUCACGAAUAAUACCAUACCAUAUAUCCGGACUAUCAUUAGUACUAUUAUCGGCCUCAGAGGAAGACAAACCCACAGAUACCGCAGAAAAAGAGAACGAAAAGAGUAUGGAAUGAAAUUGGCGUAGAGCAAAAGAUACGCUUUCGUCGUUGUAAAUGAUAUUCAUCUUGUGAUGUUAUUAACAGGGGAAACAGUAUCCACAACAGUAACCUUGUCGUUCUCUUGGUUCAUAUUUCCAUAGAUAUUCGAAAGUUUUAUUUCGUUUGAUCUUCUAAUUGCUUUGAACAGCGUAUAAGACAAAUACCCGAGAAUGAAUCGUAGAGGAAGGAAGGAAAAGGAAGAUGGAAGAAGAGCGAAUGGAAUCGAUGGAAGAGAGAAAAGGAGAGAUAAAUUGGACAGAAAAAGGAAGAAGUGGCGUGUAAGGCAGAUGCUCAGAAAUCAUAGAAAAAUAAAAGGACAAGAGCGAAGAUGAAUGAAAAGGAAAGAAGAGGAAAUUCAGAAGAAAAAGAGCGAAGGUUACUGCGCCGAUGUAUGCAAAUUUUACACGAGCGUCGAUUUAAGCAGGCGCGGCGCGCCAGUCUGUAUAAUAGCGAGUAAACACGGCGUGUUUAAUACGCAUCGCGGAUGGAUGGAACGCGUAUGGCUGCGCGGUAAUUAGAAACGAGGCGAACGCUUGGUAGGCGUAGGCGAUAGCGAUCGCACACGAGCCAACAACCAAAGAAGAAGAACGCGGUCCGUGCGUGAAUAUUCAAGCUCCGCUAUGCUUCGCAGGAUAGCGGUCACCUGCCGCACAGGUGCCCCCUACUCCUCCGCUACCUCGUAAUUCAACCUUCAGGCCGAUCCUUACCAGCAGUCACUUCCAGGUGUUGAACAGAGAGCGUUACCCGAUUUCCGUUUUAUCUCCGCUCUGCCCCUCGCCCUUAUCUCUGUCGCUUUAUCUAGCGUCCCCCGUGCGGCUCCCUUUUCACGUUUUUCCAUCUUACUUUUCCCCUAUUUUAAAAUGUACACCGGUACCGUCUACUAUUAGUCCUGCGACGUUACACGGCGUAACGAGUAAUUUAUGAAACGAGCCUCGAUCGGAAAAUACUGUUGUAAUUUGGUAUUUACAUCUUUGAUCGGGUAUCUUAUUGGAGAUUAAGGUACGCGCUUAUCUUCGUGAUAGAGUGAAAUAACGAGAAGGAAGCGAAUAUGUAAUUGAAUAUGUCGAGAUAGUAGGUAUGAGAUAAAUAAUUAAAUGCGACGAGCUGCAAAUAUAUUUUUGUAAUUUCAUUUUUACAUAGCUUGGUUAUGUAAAUGGUAUGCUUGUUUCGUAUACUGGUGGUAUAUUGUUGCGAAUUUUGAAUCGCUCUUCAAAUAUAUACAGAUAUAUAUAUACAAAUAUAUACUGCUAAUAUGUACAGACACGACGAUAGUGAUCUUUAUUCCGAUAGAGUUCGACAGAAUUUUCUCAAGGUAAUAGUAUUCCAAGUUGGCUCUUCUUUAAACUCUUCGCUGUAAUACAUACCAAGGAAUGUACUCGCGUUUGUACGCGUAACGAGUUCAUUCUACUGAAUUAGCGAAAGUAGAAGUCACGGAUUAUUCCUUCGUUUCACAAAUUACUUUCUAAAUCGUAAACUACGAACACGUCACCGUAAAUAUGCCCAAGCUAUGUUUCAUUACGUACUUUCAACUAGCAGAAACAGCAUAACCAUCGCGGAUUUCAUCUUUUUUGUCCAUAAAAGGUAACUAUAAAAUCAGUCAAGUGACAGAUGGUCGAGGAAAUUAAUUAAAGUCUAUCUAAACGAUUA